GGCCUGCGCUCUGGGUGGGGCAGUGCCCUCGCUACGUCCAUUCUCACACCUCACCCUCACGUGCAGCUCACCUCCCUCGCCCUGAUAAUGGGGGCCUCUCGGAACAUGGAGAAACCCGGAAGUGUCACCGGAAGACCACACAGAUGGGCGCAGUACCAUUGGUAAUGUUCUUACGUUGAAGGAAGUGAAGUUAUUCAAUAAAUAUAUCAAGCUCAUGUGAUCUCAGAUGCUAGAAGGACUCAGAGGAAGAAAAAUAAUUAUGGGAAAAAGAGCAAUACAAUUGUAGUCCUGCUCAGACUGAUACGCUAAUAGGAAGCAAAUGUGCAGAUGGAAAGGAAAAUCUUUGUUAUCAAAUCCAUGCUACUUCAAUCUGAAGUACAGUCAUUGAACGGGUUUGACCAAGAGCAUUCCUUACACAUGGACUACAGCGUGAAUCUGCUGAGGGUCAACCAGAGAGUAAAGCCCAACUUCAGAUGAAGUGUGUUGGGUCACCAGUGCACAUAUUCUCGGAAGCUUAACAUUCUGCAUAAUGAAUGUUUUCUUAAACUUAUGUACUUGCCUGCAGCAAACUCUGACUCCAGCUUUUUGCAUGAAAAAUCCAUUUCACAAUCAAUUUGAGUGGCAAAAUUAUUUUUCUGUUUUGUUUUUGGAACGUCUGCCAAGGAGACCCGCUAUCCAUUGGUUCACGAUUACAUAAUUGUUUGUGAAAUCACAUAAAAUUCAGGUUCUUAUGGACGUGCUGCAGUAUGGAUUUUAAUGUUAAAAGUGUCUAGAUUUCAGCUUCUUUUCUUCAGUGUGGAUAUUCACGCAGACUUCAGAUGGAAGAACACCCUAAAUUCAACAGUGAAAGAACAAAGAAUCCAAUCCGGAAAUGGGCAAAAGACACAGACAGAAAUUCACCAAAAAAUACAGAUAGAAAAGAAACGCAAAAAGAUAUUCAACAGUAUUAGUCAUCAGGGAAACGUGAGCUAAGCCGCAGCAAACUCCUGGUACACCUAUCAGGACGACUAAGAGGAGAACACUGACGACGCCGAACACUGCAGGACACGCUGGCCCACGGAGAGGGCGAGGACAGGAGGUGCGGGGCUGCCUGUGAGAUGAAUCUCUAAGGCUCUCAGCUGACCGCGGUUACUCAUUACACGACCUGGGAACGGACUAAAAACCGUUUUUGUACCUCAAGCGGGUGAACCGUACGUCGUGUGAAUCAUAU